GGUGAGUAAUGUCUGGGAAACUGCCUGAUGGAGGGGGAUAACUACUGGAAACGGUAGCUAAUACCGCAUAAUGUCGCAAGACCAAAGAGGGGGACCUUCGGGCCUCUUGCCAUCAGAUGUGCCCAGAUGGGAUUAGCUAGUAGGUGGGGUAACGGCUCACCUAGGCGACGAUCCCUAGCUGGUCUGAGAGGAUGACCAGCCACACUGGAACUGAGACACGGUCCAGACUCCUACGGGAGGCAGCAGUGGGGAAUAUUGCACAAUGGGCGCAAGCCUGAUGCAGCCAUGCCGCGUGUAUGAAGAAGGCCUUCGGGUUGUAAAGUACUUUCAGCGGGGAGGAAGGUGGUGAGGUUAAUAACCUCAUCAAUUGACGUUACCCGCAGAAGAAGCACCGGCUAACUCCGUGCCAACAGCCGCGGUAAUACGGAGGGUGCAAGCGUUAAUCGGAAUUACUGGGCGUAAAGCGCACGCACGCGGUCUGUCAAGUCCGAUGUGAAAUCCCCGGGCUCAACCUGGGAACUGCAUUCGAAACUGGCAGG
rnacentral:rRNA from 1 species